UUUUAGACCCCUAUGUGGUAGAGUGCAUGCAUGUGAGACUUAGCAUUCUAGUUAUGAUUGGGAACCAUGAUCCCUAUUAUGAAAACGGAUCUUGCUCUCUUGCAUUUAACCUAUAUGCCAAUUGGGACAUUAGGAAUUUUAGAAGCCUAGAGAGGGCUUGAGAACUUGGACUAUUUGAGAAUUGGGCCAAUGUCAUAAAGAGGCAUUGGGCCCGGGCUAUAGUAGUCAUUAGUAUUAAUGUUUAAAUGAAACAUAGAACAAGAAUUGAGCUUGAUCAGUGUGAUGCUUAAGUGUCAUAAAGAGGCACUAAGCAAGUGAGUGUUGGGACAUCACUUAGAGACAUUGGGCUAGAUCCUUGGGAUGCUAGUGACCUUGCCAUGUUAGAGACAUGCGGAUAGAGUAUUUGAGACAGUGACCUUGCUUGUUUGCCAUUUGUGCUCAUUCGCACAUGCUUGUGAGGGUCGCUCCCUACAAGCCGGCACUCCGGAGUUAGCCUACGCGACCUAUGUUCGCUCGUGCGGUAUUGAGAAGCCUACGGGGUCGAGUGGGACAGACACAUUCCAAGAGUAGGGAUGUCGGGCUACCACAGGCACUUAGGCGGCACAAGCUGGACUACCUUUGGUAGGUCCUUAAUUGGAAAUGGAAAUCGACACGGUGUUGAGUUUAUUAUGAUCACUACUAGUCAGAGAGUAGUAGUAGGAUUACUUGGACUUACUUCUAGCAUAGUUGUGGACAUUUGGGUAUUCAUACAUACAUGUAGUAUGCUAGGAGAUGUUGUUUAUUGCAUCCUUAUAUGCAUUGUAGUCAUGACCAAGUAUUACUUUCAUAUCUGUAUAAAGUAAAGCAUGAUAUUACUUGUGAACAUAUAUAUCCAUGACAAGAUAAAGUCGCAUUAGGAAUGCCAUGUUUAAUUGCAAGUUGUAGCUUAGCAUCCUAAUUAUUAUGCUUUCUAAUAUGCAAUUUACU
rnacentral:lncRNA from 1 species